rnacentral:rRNA from 1 species
GACGAACGCUGGCGGCGUGCUUAACACAUGCAAGUCGAACGGAAAGGCCCUGCUUUUGUGGUGUGCUCGAGUGGCGAACGGGUGAGUAACACGUGAGUAACCUGCCCUUGACUUUGGGAUAACUUCAGGAAACUGGGGCUAAUACCGGAUAGGAGCUCCUGCUGCAUGGUGGGGGUUGGAAAGUUUCGGCGGUUGGGGAUGGACUCGCGGCUUAUCAGCUUGUUGGUGGGGUAGUGGCUUACCAAGGCUUUGACGGGUAGCCGGCCUGAGAGGGUGACCGGCCACAUUGGGACUGAGAGACGGCCCAGACUCCUACGGGAGGCAGAAGGGGGGAAUAUUGCACAAUGGGCGGAAGCCUGAUGCAGCAACGCCGCGUGCGGGAUGACGGCCUUCGGGUUGUAAACCGCUUUCGCCUGUGACGAAGCGUGAGUGACGGUAAUGGGUAAAGAAGCACCGGCUAACUACGUG